GUGGUCUCCAACCCAGUCCUCAUGGACCACCAACAGUCCAGGUUUUGUCAGUAUCUCCAUUGGAAUAAAACAAGUGAUCCUGGACUGUUGGUGGGCCAUGAGGAUUGGGUUGGAGACCA